AAACUUAAUGAAUUGACGGGACCCGCACAAGCAGCGGAGCGUGUGGUUUAAUUCGUUGCUACACGAAGAACCUUACCUGGGUUUGACAUAUAGGUUGUAGGGAACUGAAAAGGGACCGACCCUUCGGGGAGCCUAUACAGGUGUUGCAUGGCUGUCGUCAGCUCGUGUCGUGAGAUGUUCGGUUAAGUCCGCUAACGAGCGCAACCCUCGUCGUAUGUUAUAUGUGUCAUACGAGACUGCCGGUAAAAGCCGGAGGAAGGUGAGGAUGAUGUCAAGUCAGCAUGACCUUUAUAUCCAGGGCUACACACACGCUACAAUGGUCUGUACAAUGGGUAGCCAAGCCGCGAGGCGGAGCCAAUCCUGAAAGCAGGCCUCAGUUCAGAUUGCAGUCUGCAACUCGACUGCAUGAAGCCGGAGUUGCUAGUAACCGCAGGUCAGCAAUACUGCGGUGAAUACGUUCCCGGGUCUU
rnacentral:rRNA from 1 species